UUCAUUAUUUUCUUUAAUUCUGUCAUUAUUGUUAGUUGCCUUGAAUACCGCCACUCUACCAGUUCGUGUGAGUACCUGAGCC
rnacentral:lncRNA from 1 species